rnacentral:rRNA from 1 species
ACGUAGGUGGCAAGCGUUGUCCGGAUUUAUUGGGCGUAAAGCGAGCGUAGGCGGUUUUUUAAGUCUGAUGUGAAAGCCUUCGGCUCAACCGGAGAAGUGCAUCGGAAACUGGGAAACUUGAGUGCAGAAGAGGAGAGUGGAACUCCAUGUGUAGCGGUGAAAUGCUUAGAUAUAUGUAAGAACACCAGUGGCGAAGGCAGCUGCCUGGUCUGUAACUGACGCUGAGGCUCGAAAGCAUGGGUAGCAAACAG